rnacentral:sRNA from 1 species
GCCCCCCCACCCCCAGCCAUAUCUAUGUUCAAGAGUGACUAAUUAGAACUUUGUGACUGUGAAGAGCCUGAGUAUUACAGACUCAGAACCAAAUUAUUUUGAGCUGUCUUAAGUCUCCUUAAUAGCUGGUUGUUCACUGUUCACUUCUGCCUCAGACCUAACACCGUCCCGUGUCUGUCACAUUUGGGGAUGCAUGAAUAGACCAGUAGUUCUCACCAGUUCCUAAACAAGAAUGUCAUCAGAUAUCUAAAACCUACAGUGGAGGUGUCCCCACUUUCCUAGAGCCCUCCUACCUUAUCUGCAAAACACCCAGACACAUAGCAGGAAGAGAAACUAGGGACUGGACAGAGCUAAGACCACAAGCACACAGAUAGAAGUUCAUCCACUCCCUCUCCCUGGACCCAUGACCUGCUGCUCUCCCAGCAUCCUUUGCAGGAGGCAGUAGAACCUGUCUUUGUGUACCUAAUGCUAUUCUCUCGGGCCUGGUUCAGGAAGCCUCCCAUUCCAUGGUUCCAGCCCCUCCCAGUGCCUGGAACGGUUUUGAGAGUCAUAUGCUCACAAUGGCAGAGCCACAAACAGCCUGGGAGCCAACCCCCACUCCCAACCUGGAAAAAUAAGCAAGAGGGAAAAAAAAGAAGCCUUCGUGCUAGCAAGCUAUUACAUCCUGAGCCUAAUGUCAAUAACUGCCAGCAGAAGCAGUUAGUUUAGGGGAGGCCUUGGAACUUGGGGACACUGCGAAUCAGAGUGGGAAAUGGGGGGUGGCUGUGGACAUCGGAGAACACAGCCACUCCGAUGAGGGUGCUAAGCUUCAUAUGCCUCAUUGACUGGACCUUCCAUGAGCGGAGGGGCCCACGGGGCUGUGGGUGAGUUAUUGGCUGAGGAAAAGUCCUUAGAGAAUUCAGCUUGGCUUUUGUAUUUUUCCAACUUGAGUUGAGUUAAGCAGGAUCUGAUGAAAGCAAGAAGGGGGAGUUACCUCAGGGAGACACAGGAGACAUUGCCCCCUUGGGAGAUGGAGCUGUGAGGUAGAUAGAGCAAGGUUCUCUGUGUUACAAAGCCCCCAGCCUUACGGUUCUGAAGCUCUCACUGCAGAGAGGGCCAGACCCCUCCCUGAAGGCUUCAUGGUGCCCGGGUGUCCCUCUUGGAGCUUUUGGAAGGACUGGAGACAGACUGGUUGGUUCUCCCUUACCACUUCUGACACCUCUGGACAGAGGGCACCCUGCAAAGCUGGUGCCCUUCCCCUCUCCCCACCUCUGCAAAAUGAGCUGGGCAUUGUCAUCCAAACUAUUUCGAAAGUGUACCCUCCGCCCUGACCAGAAACUAGGACCUAAGACAGCUGCAGUAGAUAGCUACUGGUGACUGCCACCUGCUUGGGGACUGGGGACUGGGGGCUGGGGCCGGGGAGACCGACAUAAAGCAACAAGGCCCCAUAGCGCUAGCUGAAGGGGUAUAGUUGCGGUUGGCCCUCAGGAUGCUGGUGCCUCUCAGUCCGAGAGCACAGUGCAGGACUUCCUGUACAGCUGGGGCUCGUUAACCUGAAGCCUUGACAUGGAAAGGGAGGAGUGAAGAAGUCCAGAUGUGUCACCAGCAUUCAGAACAGAGGCCGACUGGAGCCUAGGAAGAAGCAGAUUGUGCCUGCCAGCCUGCGCCGGGCGGCCUUCUCCUUCCUACUUCUGUCUGUGCGCACUACGUCAGCCUCACCAGGAACAAACCAGACCUAGCGGAGCCUCAGGACUCCUUCAGACGUGUGCAUAUCAGCCCCUGGGGAUCAUGUGACAUGCCCAGACUCCGAGGACUCGAGGAAUGCAGCAUUCAGAUGAGACUCCACUGCUGGCUGUGGUAGAGCAGCCUUGGGAAGCAGCAUCGCAGGUGAUCUGGGCAGCUGCGGGGAUGAAACCAGGGCUCCAGGCGAGCUAAGCAGUCUGCACGCCCAGCCCAGCCCGGAUGUCCUUGAAACUACCUGGGGAUAAACAUAUUCCUCCCAUA